AAUGAACAAAGUCCUGUCCAAGCAUAUUUGGCCAUUGACUGUGGAAACUGUACUUGGAUAACCGUAUGAUGUUUACAUUUUUCUGCAAUUACAACUUCAACUCCCACAACACAAACUGGAUUCCUCAAUCAACUUCUGAUUUAUUUCAUUACGAAAAUGUAGAGCAGAAGAUAGAAGAUGAAGAUAAUCAUGAUUUUGUGACAGAAGAUAACAAGACAGACGAAGAAGAAAAAGAAGUAGAAGAAGAUGAAGACCGCAAGGAUGACGAAGAAGAAGAAGAAGAGAAAAAGGAAAAGAGUAAUAAGAAAGGAAGCAAGAAAAAAGGAUUAACUAAGGUGGACAAAGAUGUCAAGAAAAGAGGUGGCUUUACCAAGUUGUGUAGUCUUUCUCCAGAGCUUCAAACAUUGUUUGGAGUAUCUGAGUUGGCCAGAACAGAGGUUGUUAAGAAACUCUGGGUUUAUAUUAAGGACAACCAAUUGCAAGAUCCAAAGAAUAAGCGAAAUAUAUUAUGUGAUGAAUCUUUACAUGCUCUUUUUCGUGUUAGUUCUAUCAACAUGUUUCAAAUGAAUAAAGUUCUCUCCAAACACAUAUGGCCGUUAGACAAGGAAGAUGCUCCUGUAGACUCUACUCAGAAGGAAAAGCGGCGCAAGCAAGAGGCAGAAGGUACAGAUGAACCACAUCGGAAAGAAAAACGACAGAAGAAAGGAGGAUCAAAAUGAUAGGAGGAAAGAGUUGUGUGUCAUGAUAAGCUAAAGGAACUUUCUGAGGUUGACUCUCUCUGGUGCUUCUCAGGCUCAAUGCUUCUGACUACUGAAUUUUUUUCAAGAUAGGAGAGUGAGUUGAUUGUUUGUAUAUAAUAUGAGCCCAGUAGAAGUGGGCAAUUUUUGCUCAAGUUCUAAUUCUCCUUUUACGCUGGUAAGUUGUAUCCAUCUAACAUUUCAAACAAAUUGAAGCAAAUAUCUUCAGUUAAGUUGUUUCACCGUUCCCCAUAGCAUCAUGUAUUUACUUCUUUUAACUUUCUACACCUUAUUUGUAUGUGGAGAUGAUGGCCAUUAGAAUGUGGAAAGAUCAUAAGACAUGGCCAUCUGGAAAGCAAAUUUGUUAUACCUUGUAGUCUUGCAGGGACUACAAGGUUAAUAAAACUUUGAUAGGUACUAUAUGAAUUCUGCUUUUGAAAUUGUUUUUUUAGGGCAUUCUCGAUGUACUAUGUGCAGUCCAACUGAUGGGCUUUAAAGCAUUUGUCAGAACUAAAGAUAACACAUCAUUCUGGGCCAAGGGACAAAAUUCUCUUCUAGGUCAAAUUGAAAUGACAAGAUCUAUUGCUUUACCACUGAGAUGACAUGAAUUACUCCUAAGCAUGUGUUUAAGAAAACACUUAUUACCAAUGAUUUCUCAUAUUUUGCUGGUGUAUGUUGCUGCAUAAAAUCAUCUGCUGCCCUGUUUUCGGCAACAUUUACUUCAACUAUGAAUCGGUUUCAUCAGUCGAGAGGUUCUCAUGGUAUUGAGCCGGUACUGUAGAACUCCCCCCGGUAAAUAAAUUGAUUGAUCUGCUUGCUUUUUCUCUCUCUCUGUUAGUUGGUAAAGUUGAGAUUUCAUUUGUUCAACAUAGGAGCCAUUGUAAGUUAGGAAGAAUGUCUUUUUCAGAAUCCUAGAAUGGCAUGAUAUGGACCUGUAAUGGAGUAAUUUUCACAUGUUAAAAUCUCAUUCUGUGAAUGUGUUGUGUUCAUACGAAAGUUCCCAAGUAGCAGUAAUGGUAAUGGUAAUGGUACUGGUACAGGUACAGGAAUUUAAAGGCUGUAGAAAGCUUGUGGGCAUUUAUAGAAUUUGGCAUUUAUCAUUAUGGACAGCCGGAAAAGAGUGGACCAUAACGAUUCAUUUCUUGAAGUUAACUUUACUAAAGUUUAUUAAAAAUAGCACAUGUGAAACUCUCUGAGAGAAUCUUUCAUACAACGGUUUUACAUCUUGCAUUCUAGAACCAGUGUCUUGACAUGGCCUUCCAUGAUUAGUUGA